AUGCGCAGGGACCAGCUCUGAUAAAGGCAUCUGAGACAGACCACUCUGAAGACCACCAAACUCUAAAAGCUCCAGCCUGCAUUUAAGGAAAAUAACCUGAAGGUACCCUGGAUCAGGCUGUCGGCAGGAGGGCAAAGGCUCAAAGAUGACCUUGCAGAAUUUGGUCGGAUGGCUGAGGCACUAACAUUCAGCUACAUUCAAACUCUGAUAUCUGGCUGGGGUUUUUUUGAGAAGGGGGAGCAUUUCUCUUAUGCUUUUUCUCCCUUCAUAUUCCUAGGUACAUCAUUUGCACUGCAACAUGUAAGAGGUUUUGCAAAAUCAUGGAAGUGGAGCAAACAGAGAGCACUAGAAGCCUUGCUCUCCUCUACAGCACAUUGUAAACAUGGAAAUGAUGGGAAAAUUUGCUUACUUUUAGCUUCCAGAGUCCUCUGUGUAAGUUCCUUGCCCACAGAGCAGAACAUAGCGUAAAUAUGUGGCAAAAAUAAACAGAUCUCUACCUAA